rnacentral:lncRNA from 1 species
UGGUCCUUCAAAGGAAGUCUCACUGAUCCACCAUUCAAUGCUAGCCCAUUAAGACAGUGCCUCAAUCUGCAGGCCAGCUACAGCUCUAGACUUGGAUCCAGCAACUGCUUUCAACAUCCUCAAAAGCAUCUAAUUGUUCAGGACAUACUGAAUAUCUGCACUUCCAGAAAUCCAGCCUUGAGUCAUUGUACAUCUGGCUGGAUCACAAUAUGAAGAGAACAGUUAGCAGCCUCUAUUGUCAGAAGAGUUCCCAUUCAGUUUUGCGGACAGAUAUGGACUGUAAACAUUAAAUGACUACUCAUUUUAUUUAUACUUAAUUUCUGCAGAUUUUGAGA